rnacentral:lncRNA from 1 species
UUUUAAUCUCCUGCUGCGGGCGGCAGACAUGGGAGAGACAGACGAGCUGCAAAGGGAAGUCGAUGAAAUGAAAUUAAAGCCCUACAACUGUGUUCCUGUCAAUGUAGAUGGGGGUCCCCCCUCCUCGGUUUGCUCACAGAGGUGGGUGUGAGAACCUAUAGGAGUGUCUGGAAGAGAUCCUGUGGAAGUCAUUUUGCCCAGAGCUGGAGGAGAAGCAAAAGCUGUCGUGAUGUGGAUUCAUCAAGAGAAGGUUUGCCACACAUGUUGGGGAGCAGAGAGAUUGUAUAAAAACUCACCAGGAACUUUCACUGGAUGGAAGCCAAAGCUAAGAAAGAACCGUGAUAUUAGGCAGCACGGUGUCUUAUAAACGACUGACUGACAAGAAACCAAGACCUGAAAUAAGAAGUUUCAGAUGUCCUUCAAG